rnacentral:rRNA from 2 species
GCGGCGUGGCUAAUACAUGCAAGUCGAGCGGACUUUCAUUGGUGCUUGCACCUUUGAAAGUUAGCGGCGGACGGGUGAGUAACACGUGGGUAACCUACCCUGUAGAUUGGGAUAACUCCGGGAAACCGGGGCUAAUACCGAAUAACACUUUUGACCUCAUGGUCGAAUGUUAAAAGACGGUUUCGGCUGUCACUACAGGAUGGGCCCGCGGCGCAUUAGCUAGUUGGUGAGGUAACGGCUCACCAAGGCAACGAUGCGUAGCCGACCUGAGAGGGUGAUCGGCCACACUGGGACUGAGACACGGCCCAGACUCCUACGGGAGGCAGCAGUAGGGAAUCUUCCACAAUGGACGAAAGUCUGAUGGAGCAACGCCGCGUGAGUGAAGAAGGAUUUCGGUUCGUAAAACUCUGUUGCAAGGGAAGAACAAGUAGCGUAGUAACUGGCGCUACCUUGACGGUACCUUGUUAGAAAGCCACGGCUAACUACGUGCCAGCAGCCGCGGUAAUACGUAGGUGGCAAGCGUUGUCCGGAAUUAUUGGGCGUAAAGCGCGCGCAGGUGGUUUCUUAAGUCUGAUGUGAAAGCCCACGGCUCAACCGUGGAGGGUCAUUGGAAACUGGGAAACUUGAGUGCAGAAGAGGAUAGUGGAAUUCCAAGUGUAGCGGUGAAAUGCGUAGAGAUUUGGAGGAACACCAGUGGCGAAGGCGACUAUCUGGUCUGUAACUGACACUGAGGCGCGAAAG